GGGUGAGUAAUGCUUGGGAAUCUGCCCAAUAGUGGGGGAAAACUCGGGGAAACCCGGGCUAAUACCGCAUAAUCUCUACGGAGGAAAGAGGGCCUCUACUUGUAAGCUCUCGCUUAUGGAUGAGCCCAAGUCAGAUUAUCUUGUUGGUAAGGUAAUGGCUUACCAAGGCUACGAUCUGUAGCUGGUCUGAAAGGAUGAUCAGCCACACUGGGACUGAGACACGGCCCAGACUCCUACGGGAGGCAGCAGUGGGGAAUAUUGCACAAUGGGCGCAAGCCUGAUGCAGCAAUGCCGCGUGUGUGAAGAAGGCUCUAGGGUUGUAAAGCACUUUCAAUAGAGAAGAAAAGCUUGGAGUUAAUACCUUCAAGCCUUGACGUAACCUAUACAAGAAGCACCGGCUAAUUCCGUGCCAGCAGCCGCGGUAAUA
rnacentral:rRNA from 1 species